rnacentral:rRNA from 1 species
GACGUAGGGAGCGAGCGUUGUCCGGAUUCAUUGGGCGUAAAGCGCGCGUAGGCGCCUCGCAAGUCGGUUGUGAAAUCCCGGGGCUCAACCCCGGGACUGCGUCCGAUACUGCGAGGCUGGAGGUAGGUAGGGGAGAUCGGAAUUCCUGGUGUAGCGGUGAAAUGCGCAGAUAUCGGGAGGAACACCAAUGGCGAAGGCAGCUCGCUGGGACGUGACUGACGCUGAGGCGCGAAAGCGUGGGGAGCGAACAGG